AUGGCUGUCGUCAGCUCGUGUCGUGAGAUGUUGGGUUAAGUCCCGCAACGAGCGUAACCCUUGUCGUUAGUUACCAGCGGGUAGUGCCGGGGACUCUAGCGAGACCGCCUGCGCAAGCAGUGAGGAAGGUGGGGAUGACGUCAAGUCAUCAUGGUCCUUACGCCUAGGGCUGCACACGUGCUACAAUGGUCGGGACAACGAGCAGCCACCUCGCGAGGGGGAGCGAAUCUCUCAAACCCGAUCGCAGUUCGGAUUGGAGUCUGCAACUCGACUCCAUGAAGCCGGAAUCGCUAGUAAUCGCGGAUCAGCAAUGCCGCGGUGAAUUCGUUCCCGGGCCUUGUACACACCGCCCGU
rnacentral:rRNA from 1 species